rnacentral:rRNA from 1 species
UACAGAGACUGCAAGCGUUAUUCGGAUUCACUGGGCGUAAAGGGUGCGUAGGCGGCUCCAUAAGUCAGUGGUGAAAUACGGCAGCUCAACUGUCGAGGUGCCAUUGAUACUGCGAAACUUGAGUGUUGAUGAGGCAGGCGGAAUUGACGGUGUAGCGGUGAAAUGCUUAGAUAUCGUCAAGAACACCGAUAGCGAAGGCAGCUUGCCAAGCAACAACUGACGCUCAGGCACGAAAGUGCGGGGAUCAAACAGG